AGGGAAACCGAGUCUUAAUUGGGCGUUAAGUUGCAGGGUAUAGACCCGAAACCCGGUGAUCUAGCCAUGGGCAGGUUGAAGGUUGGGUAACACUAACUGGAGGACCGAACCGACUAAUGUUGAAAAAUUAGCGGAUGACCUGUGGCUGGGGGUGAAAGGCCAAUCAAACCGGGAGAUAGCUGGUUCUCCCCGAAAGCUAUUUAGGUAGCGCCUCGUGAAUUCAUCUCCGGGGGUAGAGCA
rnacentral:rRNA from 1 species